rnacentral:lncRNA from 1 species
GUCGAGCAAAUACAUAAUAGAAAUGAUUAACUAUAUAGGUGCAUUCAUGCCAACGUGCGGUUAUCAAAUCUAUUAAAACUAAUCAUUAACAUAGUGGUUGCUUAAAUGUGUGAGUCCAGGCAGGUGGUUUGUUCAUCGACAGUUCUGGCAACUCACCCGUACAACACCCGGUCGAAAGAUAAGAUGACAGGACGAGAAUCUGACUCCAGUAUUGUGGACCCUACAAAAGAGGUCGAGGUGAAUGAUGUGGUUGCCAUG